rnacentral:rRNA from 1 species
CCUACGGGUGGCAGCAGUGAGGAAUAUUGGUCAAUGGGCGGAAGCCUGAACCAGCCAAGUCGCGUGAGGGAAGACUGCCCUAUGGGUUGUAAACCUCUUUUGUCGGGGAGCAACGCCGGCUACGUGUCGCCGGCCUGAGAGUACCUGAAGAAAAAGCAUCGGCUAACUCCGUGCCAGCAGCCGCGGUAAUACGGAGGAUGCGAGCGUUAUCCGGAUUUACUGGGCUUAAAGCGCUCGUAGGCGGGAUGUCAAGUCAAGGGUGAAAUCCCCGGGCUCAACGCGGGUACGGCCGUUGAAACUGGCAGACUUGAGUGGGCGAGAGGAGAGCGGAAUGCGAGGUGUAGGAGUGAAAUCCGUAGAUAUCUGGCGGAACAGCAGUGGCGAAGGCGACCAUCUGGCACACUACUGACGCUGAGGAGCGAAAGUGCGGGUAGCAAACAGGAUUAGAUACCCUAGUAGUC